ACGAGUGCGUGUCAGCAGCCGCGGUAAUACAGAGGAUGCAAGCGUUAUCCGGAAUGAUUGGGCGUAAAGGGCGCGUAGGCGGCUUGGCAAGUCAAAGGUGAAAUCCCUCGGCUCAACUGAGGAACUGCCUUUGAAACUGCCUGGCUUGAGGCCGGGAGGGGGUAGCGGAAUUCCCAGUGUAGCGGUGAAAUGCGUAGAUAUUGGGAGGAACACCAGUGGCGAAGGCGGCUACCUGGACCGGUUCUGACGCUGAUGCGCGAAAGCGUGGGUAGCAAACAGGAUUAGAUACCCUGGUAGUCCACGCUGUAAACGAUGGGUGCUCGGUGUCGCGGGUAUCGACCCCUGCGGUGCCUUAGCCAACGCGUUAAGCACCCCGCCUGGGGAUACGGUCGCAAGGCUGAAACUUAAAUGAAUUGACGGG
rnacentral:rRNA from 1 species